AGGGGCGAGCCACCGGAUAGGCGGCCGGUCUCCAAAACCGGCGGAAAGUGGGUUCGACUCCUACCGCCCCUGC
rnacentral:tRNA from 1 species